CCUACGGGUGGCAGCAGUGGGGAAUAUUGGACAAUGGGGGGAACCCUGAUCCAGCCAUGCCGCGUGUGUGAAGAAGGCCCUCGGGUUGUAAAGCACUUUCAGUGAGGAAGAACGCCUGGUGGUUAAUACCCAGCAGGAAAGACAUCACUCACAGAAGAAGCACCGGCUAACUCCGUGCCAGCAGCCGCUGUAAUACGGAGGGUGCGAGCGUUAAUCGGAAUUACUGGGCGUAAAGCGCGCGUAGGUGGCUUGAUAAGCCGGUUGUGAAAGCCCCGGGCUCAACCUGGGAACGGCAUCCGGAACUGUCAAGCUAGAGUGCAGGAGAGGAAGGUAGAAUUCCCGGUGUAGCGGUGAAAUGCGUAGAGAUCGGGAGGAAUACCAGUGGCGAAGGCGGCCUUCUGGACUGACACUGACACUGAGGUGCGAAAGCGUGGGUAGCAAACAGGAUUAGAUACCCUGGUAGUC
rnacentral:rRNA from 1 species